AUUAUAUAUACAUAUACAUAUAUAUGUAUAUGCAUGGUGUCGGCCAAGCCCUCCUUCAAGGAUCUGACGUCUCCUCUUCUGAUCUCUCCUCCUGCCGACGGCCGUUUCCUUAAUUCUUCAUGCCAAAUGCUAGUGCAACCGGCCAUAUCAGUACACCAUUGAAGGACGAGACGAACAGUCAAAAGAUUCGUGGUAUUUUUCAAAUCAAGCAAGCUGUCCUAUAUAUUACUUCAAUACUGUACAAUAACCCGUGGAGAACUUUACCGGUUUUCAACUGGCCUGCGGUUUCUAGAGUACUUCGUUCACUUUAUUUGUGUCGCACGUCGGUAUUAAUUGGUAUGAACCGAGCACGAUUUCUUUGGAUCUUCUAAUUUAUUUCUAGUUUUUAUUUCUCGAGGAAUUUGCGGCCAUCUUGACUUUUACUUGAGAAAUAAUGUACGCUUGUUUAAAUCUAGCUUUUCCUUUUUGAUAGGUCGUUCAAACAAUGAAUCACUACUUCUCUUUCUUUUUCACUAUUCCAACAACCCAUCAUCAAUAGAAUUAGUGCGUGAAUGA